rnacentral:lncRNA from 1 species
GGGAACGGAACAUGUGGGACAUGUGAUAAGAAAUAAUCCAAAAGUAAAAGCUAGGACUCGGUGACAGAUGUGCCAUCGCCAAUGAAUGAACUUUCUAAAAUUCAGCCUGGAAUUGGUAUUCUUUGCCAUGCUUAACCUGACAGAGCAGCCUCUAUGGGCGAUGAGCAGGAGGCCGUUAGCCUAAGAGUCCUUCUCCCACAAUGGGACAGCUUCCAGAAAUGUGCCGCUUCCUCUCCACAUUUCAUCGAGCAGCUCUCCACUUCUGUGUAUAGCACCGGCACAGCACACAGGAAGCAAACACCACGUUCUGCAGUCCAGGGUCCGCACCUUCUGUACUCAAAGGAAGUCCAAAGGCCUCAAAUUGUGAAUCCACUGAAUGGAAGAGAGGCGAUUUCCCCACUUCAGGCAAUGCCAUGUUUGGAAAGAACCAGAACGCUGGGCGCAGAAAGGCUUUCAUGCAAACCGAGACGGUGCACAUUCUCAAGAUGGAAAAGGUAAGGUUUGAACGUGAACUUUAGCCCAAGUUAGUAAGAAGCUGGCAAGAAUUGGACAGAUAGGUGGACAGAAUUUGAGAUGGACUAUAUGAAAAAGGAGCCAGCAUCUGUGAGAGUUUUUCCAUGCAAGGUGUUUUACAGACGUAUUCCACUAAAUCCAAAGCAAGUUCAAGAGGUAGGUAUGGUCACCAUCAUGGAUAGACAAGAGAAAUUAAGACUCUAACAAAUAAAUUGCCCAAGACCUCAACCGGAAGGCCUAAGAACCACGUCUCCUCCCGCACUGUUUACCCAAGGAAAUCAGAGGUCCUGCUCCCUUCCGGGAUGUUAUUACUGACCACCACGACGAA